rnacentral:tRNA from 1 species
GCAUCCAUGGCUGAAUGGUUAAAGCGCCCAAC